rnacentral:rRNA from 1 species
AAUGAACGUUGGCGGCGUGGAUUAGGCAUGCAAGUCGUACGGGCCAGCAAUGGUCAGUGGCGAAAGGGAGAGGAAUACGCAGGUAUCUGCCUCCGGGUCGGGGAUAGCCACGGGAAACUGUGGGUAAUACCCGAUAACGUCUCCGGACCAAAGGUGUGAUUCCACCUGGAGAGGAGCCUGCGUCCUAUUAGCUUGUUGGCGGGGUAAUGGCCCACCAAGGCUACGAUGGGUACGGGGUGUGAGAGCAUGCCCCCGCUCACUGGGACUGAGACACUGCCCAGACACCUACGGGUGGCUGCAGUCGAGAAUCUUCCGCAAUGGGCGCAAGCCUGACGGAGCGACGCCGCGUGUGGGAUGAAGGCCUUCGGGUUGUAAACCACUGUCGUAGAGGAGGAAGGACCGGUGCAGAGCCGGUUUUGACCUAUUCUAGGAGGAAGGGUGGGCUAAGUUCGUGCCAGCCGCCGCGGUAAGAC